rnacentral:rRNA from 1 species
UACGUAGGGAGCGAGCGUUGUCCGGAUUCAUUGGGCGUAAAGAGCUCGUAGGCGGCUUGGCAAGUCGGGUGUGAAAACUCCAGGCUCAACCUGGAGACGCCACCCGAUACUGCCAUGGCUAGAGUCCGGUAGGGGACCACGGAAUUCCUGGUGUAGCGGUGAAAUGCGCAGAUAUCGAGGAGGAACACCGGUGGCGAAGGCGGUG